rnacentral:misc_RNA from 1 species
UUUCAAUAUCAUAAUUCAUUGGCAUAUAUAUUUGCAAUAUCUUUGUUGAAUUUUGUACUUAAAUUAAUGUUAGUAAUGUAGUAGUCAUGAAUGUUUCGUAAUCUACAAAGCGGAUGCUUUCAAACUAAUGAUGUCUUUUACUAGAGCAAGAAAGGGGAUAAUCAUCAUCGAAAACGAAGCUAUCUACAAUGCGAAAAACCUUUGGAAGCACUCAUAGAGAAAUACACCAGACUGGGCUAUAUGAUUGUCGCCGACACUCAAAACCUCACCCCACCCAAGCCAGCCUCUUUGGUAUUGGUUCACUGACAAAACAGAACAAAACUGAGCACAUGGUUCAUUGGCUAUUUCUUUCUGGUGUUAACUGUUUAUCGUUUUAAAAAUAUUUUAUAUGUACAAUAUGUAUUAUAAGUAAUCUUUUAUGAACAAGUUGAUCAUAUAUCUAAACAAGUAUUUUUUUGUUAAACUUGUUUUGUUAAUUUUUUACAAUUAUGAUAAAUACAUCCAUUUAUUGCUGUGAUACUUUUUGACUGUGAUGAAUUUUAUGUUUAAACUGUUUGAAAUUAAAGUAUUUAUACAAGUU